UACUAUCAGCAAAACAUGAAUUCCCAGCAAAGGAAUAGCAGAAAAUUCGUCAUCUUCAUCACCUCUUUUAAAGAAAACUUCAAAUGGCCAUGGGUGAUUCGUUUUUCAUCUGAAUUUCGUGAUUCUUGCGGCAACGGAACGAGGAGGACGAUAUCUACUGAUCUAUGGCAUCAAAUCAAGACUUGACGAGACGACUACCAAUGGAACCCGAAACUUACGGAACACGAGAUCGCUAGGUAUUAUCGAAGAUUAUGGAUAGCAAGCGUGUGUUUUUCAGGUACCUAGAUUCUAUACGUGGCUAGAAGUCCUUCUUUGACCAGAGGUUCCUUUGGGCUAUGUACAGUCCCGACUUUCGUAGUUGCUGCAGUAGUGUGAGUCUGACCGGUGUCGUGGCCUAGCAUAUUAACAUGUUUUUAUGAUGUCUAUAGUUGUUGUCAUUAAAUAUACGCUUUGUUGGCUACGAUUAUUGUAUUUGUUCCACGGAGGUAGAUACCCGUGAAGUGACUUUGACACUAGUAGUUUAUGCCGGACUAGUACGUACCUGAUACGGAAACGAUAAGUCCGAGCAAGUUGUAAGACUUUACUAGUGUAUAUAAAUGUAUCUUUGUUUUGUUAAAUGCUUCCGUUUAUAA